GUGGGGAAUAUUGGACAAUGGGGGGAACCCUGAUCCAGCCAUGCCGCGUGUGUGAAGAAGGCCUUUUGGUUGUAAAGCACUUUAAGCGAGGAGGAGGCUACCGAGAUUAAUACUCUUGGAUAGUGGACGUUACUCGCAGAAUAAGCACCGGCUAACUCUGUGCCAGCAGCCGCGGUAAUACAGAGGGUGCAAGCGUUAAUCGGAUUUACUGGGCGUAAAGCGCGCGUAGGUGGCCAAUUAAGUCAAAUGUGAAAUCCCCGAGCUUAACUUGGGAAUUGCAUUCGAUACUGGUUGGCUAGAGUAUGGGAGAGGAUGGUAGGAUUCCAGGUGUAGCGGUGAAAUGCGUAGAGAUCUGGAGGAAUACCGAUGGCGAAGGCAGCCAUCUGGCCUAAUACUGACACUGAGGUGCGAAAGCAUGGGGAGCAAACAGGAGUAGAAACCCUGGUAGUCC
rnacentral:rRNA from 1 species